rnacentral:tRNA from 1 species
GGGCGACUAGCUCAGCGGUCAGAGCGUCUCCUUUACACGGAGAGGGUCGCUGGUUCGAAUCCAGCGUCGCCCA